CGAAGGAGUAGGUGGUGGGAUCUCACCGUGGGUCCGAUUAGCCUUUUCUCUGCCUUGCUUGCUUGAGCUUCAGCGGAAUUCGAAAUGGCUGGCGGUAAGGCUGGAAAGGACUCCGGAAAGGCCAAGACAAAGGCGGUUUCCCGCUCGCAGAGAGCCGGCUUGCAGUGGGCCGUAUUCAUCGACACCUGAAAUCUAGGACGACCAGUCAUGGACGUGUGGGUGCGACUGCCGCUGUGUACAGCGCAGCCAUCCUGGAGUACCUCACCGCAGAGGUACUUGAACUGGCAGGAAAUGCAUCAAAAGACUUAAAGGUAAAGCGUAUUACCCCUCGUCACUUGCAACUUGCUAUUCGUGGAGAUGAAGAAUUGGAUUCUCUCAUCAAGGCUACAAUUGCUGGUGGUGGUAUGUUAACUUCUAACAUUUUAAAAAAUUUCU
rnacentral:sRNA from 1 species